GAAUCCCUGCUGUGCACGUUGGAACAAUGAUAAUUAUUGAACCAACAGCAAUUUACAGGGGGCUCAAAGAUUCCUAAGCGCUUUUAGCGUUUAAGGAGAGGGCACCCACCUGAAAGAAAACAGGUUCAAACUAUCACUCCAACGGCACAAUGCGGGGAUUUU
rnacentral:other from 1 species